rnacentral:rRNA from 1 species
CCUACGGGUGGCAGCAGUGAGGAAUAUUGGUCAAUGGGCGCGAGCCUGAACCAGCCAAGUAGCGUGAAGGAUGACUGCCCUACGGGUUGUAAACUUCUUUUAUAAAGGAAUAAAGUGAGUUACGUGUGCCUUUUUGCAUGUACUUUAUGAAUAAGGACCGGCUAAUUCCGUGCCAGCAGCCGCGGUAAUACGGAGGAUCCGAGCGUUAUCCGGAUUUAUUGGGUUUAAAGGGAGCGUAGAUGGGUUGUUAAGUCAGUUGUGAAAGUUUGGGGCUCAACCGUAAAAUUGCAGUUGAUACUGGCAGCCUUGAGUACGGUUGAGGUAGGCGGAAUUCGUGGUGUAGCGGUGAAAUGCUUAGAUAUGACGAAGAACUCCGAUUGCGAAGGCAGCCUGCUAAACUGCCACUGACAUUGAUGCUCGAAAGUGUGGGUAUCGAACAGGAUUAGAUACCCGGGUAGUC